UGAGGAAAACGGGUUUGAGUUUAGUUUGUUUGAUGUGUUGUGUGCAUUUUCUCCAUGAAAAUAUGAACUAUCUUUUGGUUGAUAUCAUUGUAUUGUAUUGUUUGGUAUUGAAACACGCGUGGUUGAUUUAUUUGUUUUUGUUUUGUCUAAUUUGAUGUUCGGUUGUUGUUUCGUCUUUGUAUAUGUCAUCGUCUUUGUGUUUCUAUGUCACUGUAUUUUACUGUGUUUGUGUGUUUUGUGUUUCGUUUGUGGUAUCAUGUAUGUGUGGUGUGGCAAAGAAAUUGCAGAUAGUGUCACCUACCAACAAUGUUACCAAUCGUAUAACUUCUGAAAGUUUUUGUUGGCUACAUGACAGGAUCCUUGAGGAGAGUCUAAGAGGUCAUAAAGCUCGAGAGUUGAUGCUGACACCUAGUGGUGUUUGUCCUUCAUAUUUUGUCCUUUAGUUUGGUUUGAGUCGUUGCCUCAAGACCUUUGUUCUUUCUCUUAAGUAAUGAAAACGUUUU
rnacentral:lncRNA from 1 species